rnacentral:rRNA from 1 species
GUGCCAGCMAGCCGCGGUAAUACGUAGGUGGCAAGCGUUAUCCGGAAUUAUUGGGCGUAAAGCGCGCGCAGGCGGUCUCUUAAGUCUGAUGUGAAAGCCCACGGCUCAACCGUGGAGGGUCAUUGGAAACUGGGAGACUUGAGUGCAGGAGAGAAAAGUGGAAUUCCACGUGUAGCGGUGAAAUGCGUAGAGAUGUGGAGGAACACCAGUGGCGAAGGCGGCUUUUUGGCCUGUAACUGACGCUGAGGCGCGAAAGCGUGGGGAGCAAACAGGAUUAGAUACCCUGGUAGUCCACGCCGUAAACGAUGAGUGCUAGGUGUUGGGGGGUUCCACCCUCAGUGCUGAAGUUAACACAUUAAGCACUCCGCCUGGGGAGUACGACCGCAAGGUUGAAACUCAAAGGAAUUGACGGGGGCCCGCACAAGCAGUGGAGCAUGUGGUUUAAUUCGAAGCAACGCGAAGAACCUUACCAGGUCUUGACAUCCUUUGACCACUCUAGAGAUAGAGCUUUCCCCUUCGGGGGACAAAGUGACAGGUGGUGCAUGGUUGUCGUCAGCUCGUGUCGUGAGAUGUUGGGUUAAGUCCCGCAACGAGCGCAACCCA